AUUGAACGCUGGCGGCAGGCCUAACACAUGCAAGUCGAGCGGAGCGGCGGACGGGUCCGUAAUGCCUAGGAUUCUGCCUGGUAGUGGGGGAUCAAGUCCAGAAACGGGCCCUAAUACCGCAUCCUCUCAGAUCAGCCUAGGUCGGAUUAGCUAGUAGGUGGGGUAAAGGCCUACCAAGGCUACGAUCCGUACAGGGUCUGAGAGGAUGAGCAGUCACACUGGAACUUAGACACGGUCCAGACUCCUACGGGAGGCAGCAGUGGGGAAUAUUGGACAAGUGGCGAAAGCCUGAUCCAGCCAUGCCGCGUGUGUGAAGAAGGUCUUCGGAUGGUAAAGCACUUUAAGUUGGGAGGCGUUACCAACAGAAUAAGCACCGGCUAACUUCGUGCCAGCAGCCGCGGUAAUAC
rnacentral:rRNA from 1 species